AAACUCCAACCUCCCGGGAUCGCAAUGUACCGUCACCUGCAACAGUGGGCUCAAACUGGAUGGAGACCCAGCGUUAUACUGUUACAGUAGUGGAACGUGGAGUUCACCUGCACCUGUCUGCCGAGCAAGAGCAGUCUGCACUGCCCUAUCUCUACCGCAUGGCACAGUUACCUGCUCAGAUGGACUUGACGAAGAUUCAAGUUGCGUCCUGACCUGCAACAACGGGUACCUCCUGGCGGGAACGUCCGAGCGCGUGUGUACCUUCCCGGGAACGUGGAGUGGUAGCACGGCUACAUGUCUAGGGUGCAACAGUGCCGCUGAUAUCAUCUUUGCCGUGGAUGUUUCUGGCAGUUUGUCACCUCACCUGAGCACAGUUUCCUGGUUUAUAGAGCUAGAGAUUAACAGUAUCGGCUCCAUUGGCUCUGGGGCAAACCAGGCCAGGAUUGCCUUUGUGAAGUUUAUCGGUGGAAGAACGGAUGUUACCAUACCCCUGAAUAACGGAUACAGUAAGCCUGCCUUAAUCUCUGC